rnacentral:hammerhead_ribozyme from 1 species
ACCCAGAUGAUGAGUUCCGAGUAGGACGAAACGCGCGUCCUGGAU